GGAUGUUACGGUGAUCUGUUUGUGACAUUUGUCUCCUCAUUGAUCACCAGGUUUGCCUCAGAUUAUCUGGCUGGCUAGGGGGGGUAUCCCCUUCUUCCCUCCCACUCCAUGUGCUCAGAUGACCUUCCUGGAAUAGAGACAUACUGGUCUUUGGUCGAGGGUAUAAGAGUAGCAGUGCUCCCUUGCUAGAACCUCCAAACAAGCUCUCUCUUACAUCUUUGUGAAUUUUUUUUUUUUUUUCCAGUUAAGCUUUUGUUAUCAACAUUGUUAUGUAGGUAAAUAUAUUAAACAACUGGUUUAUCUUU
rnacentral:snRNA from 1 species